rnacentral:lncRNA from 7 species
AGGAGAUCUUACUGACCACAGCUUUGCCUGCUUGGUGAGACUGUGACCGUGAAUGGGAAAGUGGAUCGGCAGUAACAGAUAGAGCAGGGAGCAGAAGGAGAGGAAGGAAGUGAAAUGGGGCGACAGCUGCAAAAAGCAGACCUAGCUGCGGGUGCUGGAUGGCAGAGCGUUUGCUGUCUUCAGUGGUCUCCAAACUGUGACUUGGCAAAUGGACUGAGACAGUGCCUGCUGACCAGGAUGCUUCCAGAGAGAUGCAGUGUCACUUCCAUGCUGCCCAGGUGUCAGCCUGGGCGGUGCUUUGCUGGAAGAUAACAUAUGGGGACGGACAGGUUAUGUGACAUGCUCCGGGUCACGUGAGCGGUGUGUGUCAGAGUGAGAAACAGCACCUGGAUCUCUCAAUUGUGAAGCUGUUGCUCUUGGCACUGCGUCAUCCUGACUGCAAACAAAACACUGAGAUUGACUGUGCCUGCGUCCUUCCCAUGCCUGCAAAUGGUAUGCUGUGGGCCAUCCAUCAAGUCUGUACCACCCCAGUUUGCUUUGAACAGGAGACAGUGUUACAGGCUGUGCUAAAACCGAGAUUGUCUGAGGGUCCCUCAUUGGCUUCAUGACGGAAAGUGGUUGAUUCACCUCCACCCAGCGGUAAUUACGUGUUGCUGCCUACUGGAAGUUCUCAUGCUUGGCAUUGGACUGUAUAAACCAUUCCCCUUUGCCCUGUGCCCCUCCUGCUUGUGAGCUCCCUUCUGGAAGGCCACAGUGAGCCUUUUCUUAAGUGAUACGUUUGGGAAACAGUACACAGAAAAUAUCCACGCAAGAAAGGCAUUCUGCAAGAAAGAGCUGCUCAUUUCCAUAUGCAUGCUGCAAACUUAAACACAAUGGUCCCAUUUUAUCAUUUGUUAUUUCAACUUUGCUGAUGAUUCAGUGGUGUUAUUCCGGUGAAAAUCUGGAGAAGAGCAGUGAAUCAGCUCCCUGGCUCUGCUUCGUGCUAUCUAAAAUGAGGAUCCACCUACAGUUGGUUCCUUUCCCAAAGUUGGCCUUAAAGGACAUCCCACAUAAAUCUACUCUCAGCCAGUGCCUGCAGAUGUAGCCCUCUCCCAUGCGCUUACCUCUCCUGCACCCCGUUAAUGGAUUGAUUACUGGACAGAGCCCCGCCGUGUGAUGGUGCUGGGCACGCUCAGCAAGAAGCAGCAAUUCUUGCUUUGAGCAUCAGCCAUCACAGGAGGACCUGAGGACCUGAGCAAUGAACCGAGUGUGCAGAUGUAUUUGCAGGGUGAUGGAUGAUUGAGGUGAGAUGUCUUUGACACACUGAUGGACUGGGAGGAGGGGCUUUGCUGGAUGCCUGAUGACUGCCCAUGGGAUACAGCUGGAAAAGGUCUUUUGUUUCCUCGACGUGGUAAGAGCAUCACCUUAGGAGUGUCCCUGCUGCUGCCCACAUCCAGCAGAGCCUUGGGCCCAGCGUGGCUCAGAGCUCCACUCCCAAGCUCACAGUGCAAGCAGUGUCACACAGGCUGCUGUCCUCAGUGUGACAUCAGCACCAAUGGCACUGCUGGCCCCCAUGGAUUUGCAGGAGCUUUUUCACCUUGCCAGAGGCCCCUGGGGUCUUCAACCCAGGUGUCAGCAGGUGAAGGCUGACACCACCUGCAGCUGGAAGGAGCUGAUGGUGUCAGGCUGCAGGGACAGCUGGGUGGCACCACUGCAAGAGCAGCAAGUUGCUGACCAUCCCAGCAGAGGGGGGAGGGGGACCAUGACCUGCUGAUUCCCACUGCAGGCACAGCCUUGGUGGCAAAGUUUGGCUGUAGCACAUGGGAGAUGAGCCUUAUGCGUAAUCACACCACACAGACUGCAGGAGAGAAGCAAAGGCUCCAUUCUGCUGUGACACCCAGCCCCUGCCUGCACGGAGCAGCUGUCGCUGCCAAGGAGACACCAGGUGAACUCAGGAGAAGUGAAACGUCAUGAGAAAAAAUGGGGAAUGAACCAGAGAGAAAGAAUCUUAGAAUAAUACCAACGUAAACACAGGCCUAGUUUUUAUCUUGUGCAGAGAGAUUGUUUUUUGAGAACAAAUGCAGAGUGAAAUGAAUUCAUAAACUUCUGUACCAGGUGCAAUCAUUAGUCAGUAAAUGAAUUAC